rnacentral:rRNA from 1 species
GACGAACCUUGCUAACGUUAUUCGGAAUUACUGGGCGUAAAGCGCACGUAGGCGGAUCUUUAAGUCAGGGGUGAAAUCCCGAGGCUCAACCUCGGAACUGCCUUUGAUACUGGGGAUAUCGAGUCCGGGAGAGGUGAGUGGAACUGCGAGUGUAGAGGUGAAAUUCGUAGAUAUUCGCAAGAACACCAGUGGCGAAGGCGGCUCACUGGCCCGGUACUGACGCUGAGGUGCGAAAGCUGGGGGAGCAAACAGG